rnacentral:lncRNA from 1 species
UGAAAAUUCGUCUGCAGUGCAUAAGUAACAACAUCAGCAGCGGCCAUUUUAGUAUAAAAGUUUCAGCUAUUGAAUUCUUUAAUUUUACUUGGCAUUUGUCAAAAAAAUUCAUUAACGCAGAGCUUUCUUUGAUUUCUCGAUUGCCCAGUCCUUGUUAGAAAACAAUAAAUUACGCAGGUUUCUCAGAUCACGUGCACAUAGGUACUACAAGAAGUGAAUGUGAGCUGGUACAACUUGUAAAGAGGGCAGCAAAAUUGGUUGGAAAGUUGAGGAUUUCAAUCAUAUCAUGCACAAUAUAAUAUUCUCAUGUUAAACUAGUCAUCCUGACAGGGCAGUGUGGAACAUCAGUUGGUUUGGUAAACCUGUUUUCAUCCCUGCCUGUGCCCCAAAUGGUUUCACUAAAAACCUGUGAAGAGAAUUUGCCAAAUAUUGCUUGAUUUCCAAAAAGACGGGGAUAACCAAGGAUAACUCGCCCAUACUUAUGUUGAAUGCAUCGUAUUAAAGGAGACAACAGGUGAUCAUCUCCGACAUGGCAAUAACUGCGGUGCACUAUUCGUUACCAACUGCAUUCUUCGUCGUACCACCAGUUUGCUUUCAUGGUUACAAUCGAAAAAUUCGUUGUUCACGCUUGUAGUUCACAAGAAAUGUUUCGUAAAACUGGCAUGCGGUGGUGUAGAGGUUAGGUGAGAACCGGACGUUUUCCAUCAUUAUCAAAAAGUAAAAUAUCGUGCUGCUGCUGCUAUCGUCGUCGUGCUGAUGUUGGGUGUCGUAUUGGCUCGGUCAACCACUGGUGUACUGAUGUCUUUUGGGUAUGGUGGUUAUGAAACCGCAACGCCGCACGUUACUACACCGAGGCCCCCAAGUACUUCACCACCAAGUCUCCAGAUUAUUACACCACAACUUCGCUGCCCGAGCUACUACACCAAAUCCCCGAAGUACUAUUCUUCCCCGAGGUACGCCAUUAAAGGGUCGAGUACUACACCGAGGCCCCUAUUUACUACACCACUACAUAUCAUGGUCGUAUAAAAGGAGAGAAGGCGAUAGAUAUCUGUCGAAUGGUUAUCACCGGCAUGGCAACAACUAAUAGUGCAGUAGUCGUCACCAACUGCAUUCUUCGUCGUACCACCAGUUUUGCAAUCAUUGCACGACGCCGCCGUCUUACUAUGGAACAUCAACAUACGACACGACCAGUUAUUACACCGAGGCCCCCAAGUACUACACCACCAAGGAACCAUAGUGUUACACAACUACAAAUGCCGCGCCAGCUUUAAUCAUUGUUAUCUAUGGCGUGCUGCUGUUGGGUGUUGAAUCGUUGAUGGCUGGAUUGACAGCUGGUGUGCCGAUGUCUCCUGGGUAUGGCGGGUAUCAAACCACAACGCCGGCGUCUGACUGCACGACAACAUACGGAAUGACCAGUUACUACACUGAGGCCUCCAUGUACUACACCACCAAUGUUCCAGAUUGUUAUACAAAAACAUAAGCUUUCUCGAGUUACUACGCAGAAGCCCCGAAGUAUUAUUCUACCCCGAGCUCUUUCACCAAGUCACCGGAGUAUUACACAACUACGUAUGCAGCGCCAGCUUACUACACCGAGGCUACCAAAUACUACUCUGCUCUUAACUACUGCACCGAGGCUCUAGCUUAUCACACCACCAACGGUCGAAAUCUACACAAAAGUGCCAAAGUACUACUCUGUCCCGAGCUACACAUCUCUAACUGAGGUGGCCAAGUAUUACGUAUCCUUAAUUAACCAACCGCUGCCCCUUCGUAUUAUGCUGAACCGAAAUACUACACUGAAGCCCCAGUUUACUACACCACAACCUACGCUACACCCUGCUACUACACCGAAGCUCUGAAGCAGUACACUACGAAGGGACCCGAGUACUAUGCCACUACAUACGAUGCUCCGACCUACUACACCGAAGCUCUGAAGUGUUACUCUGCCUCCAGUUACUACACCGUCAAGUCAUCUGAACGUUACACCACGACCUACGCUUCUCCAACUUACUACAGGGAGGUUCCUAACUAUUAGAGCCAAAUUUGUUUUAUUUAUCUGUGUAUAGGUUUUCUGUCGUAUCAUAAUAGUUACUUGUCGCUGGUAAUUGUUGUUGUUCUUAAAUUAGAAAAUAUACGUAUUAAAGCGGGUAA